rnacentral:misc_RNA from 1 species
AUGGACUUCAAUCAUAUCUUCAUUCGGGUUCAUGUGUUUCCAUGCAUUGUUGACUCAAGUUGAUGUCAUUGAAGAUGGAACUGCUUUUUGGAGCUUUAUUACUGGCACUCUUACAUUCUUUUGUGUUGUCUGAUUUGCAAGGGGAUGCACUAUAUCAAAUGAAGCUUUCGAUGGGUGCUCCAGCCAAUCAGUUAUCAGAUUGGAAUCCAAAUCAAGUCAACCCAUGCACUUGGUCAAAUGUUAUCUGUGACCCUAGUAAUCAAGUCACUUCUGUAACAUUAUCUGGCAUGAACUGUUCUGGAACCUUAUCUCCUAAAAUAGGAAUUCUGAAGGCUCUUACUACACUAACAUUGAAAGGAAAUGGCUUAACUGGUGAGAUACCCAAAGAGUUUGGAAAUUUGUCGAGUUUAUCCAGCUUAGAUUUGGGAAAUAAUCGUUUAAGUGGCGAGAUACCGUCUUCCCUUGGCAAUCUUAAAAGUCUUCAAUUUUUGACUUUGAGUCAAAACAACCUCACUGGAGCUAUCCCUGAAUCACUUUCUCGUCUCCAAAAUUUGAUUAAUAUUCUAC